AGCGAACGCUGGCGGCAGGCCUAACACAUGCAAGUCGAACGAACUCUUCGGAGUUAGUGGCGGACGGGUGAGUAACACGUGGGAACGUGCCUUUUGGUUCGGAAUAACUCAGGGAAACUUGUGCUAAUACCGAAUGUGCCCUUCGGGGGAAAGAUUUAUCGCCAUUAGAGCGGCCCGCGUCUGAUUAGCUAGUUGGUGAGGUAACAGCUCACCAAGGCGACGAUCAGUAGCUGGUCUGAGAGGAUGACCAGCCACACUGGGACUGAGACACGGCCCAGACUCCUACGGGAAGCAGCAGUGGGGAAUCUUGCGCAAUGGGCGAAAGCCUGACGCAGCCAUGCCGCGUGAAUGAUGAAGGUCUUAGGAUUGUAAAAUUCUUUCACCGGGGACGAUAAUGACGGUACCCGGAGAAGAAGCCCCGGCUAACUUCGUG
rnacentral:rRNA from 1 species